rnacentral:tRNA from 1 species
CGCGGCGCUGGACUGGGUGAUCCGCGACGGGCACGCCGACGGCGCGCCCGCGGAGCGCGUCGCGGCGAAGGCUCCGUUCGGCCCGGAAGCCGCGC